rnacentral:lncRNA from 1 species
GAACAAACUGAUCUGAUGAACUCUAUCAGCUGUGUUUGGGACAGCUCCUAAGGGGUACCGUGCUUGGGCAGGACUUUGAGGGAGAACCCAGUCUGGAGAAAUGGGUGAAGGUCUCAACCCCAACACCAUCACCACCGUCUCAGUUUGUUGUCUACCUCCAGUGGAAUUGAAGCAACUUGAAAGCACAGAUAAUAGCUCCCUGAAAAAUAUUGUCAAGUUCACAUCUCUAUUCACAGCACCUAUCAACUUAUGAUUUUUUUCCUUUGAAAUAGUAUAAAAGAGAUGCAUUCAGAAAAAAACUGUACUUUGAAUUUCAUUUUUA